UGGGUCGGGGUUUCGUACGUAGCAGAGCA
rnacentral:piRNA from 8 species